AGGACAGUAAUUCAGAUAAGAGAGAGAGAGGAGGUGAUUGCAGGGAAAGAUGGGAGACAGAAGAGGCUCCUAGCUCUAGUGCCUUCUGGAAAAAGACCAGACCCAGAAAUUAAAAGUCGAGGGUGUAACUGUAGUUGAACUAAUGAAACUGAGAGUCCAACCCAUAGCUUUGUGAGAGGCACAAGUGUAAUUUCAUUCCAGGCAGGUCAAGUCAGAGCGACCUAUGGGCAGCUCGAUGAAGAUGACAUCA
rnacentral:lncRNA from 1 species